rnacentral:rRNA from 1 species
UGCAGUCGAACGCUGAACCGGUUUCGGCCGGGGAUGAGUGGCGAACGGGUGAGUAACACGUGGGUAAUCUGCCCUGUACUCUGGGAUAAGCCUGGGAAACUGGGUCUAAUACCGGAUACGACCACUACAGGCAUCUGUGGUGGUGGAAAGUUCCGGCGGUAUGGGAUGAACCCGCGGCCUAUCAGCUUGUUGGUGGGGUAAUGGCCUACCAAGGCGACGACGGGUAGCCGGCCUGAGAGGGUGACCGGCCACACUGGGACUGAGACACGGCCCAGACUCCUACGGGAGGCAGCAGUGGGGAAUAUUGCACAAUGGGCGCAAGCCUGAUGCAGCGACGCCGCGUGAGGGAUGACGGCCUUCGGGUUGUAAACCUCUUUCGCCAGGGACGAAGCGCAAGUGACGGUACCUGGAUAAGAAGCACCGGCUAACUACGUGCCAGCAGCCGCGGUAAUACGUAGGGUGCGAGCGUUGUCCGGAAUUAUUGGGCGUAAAGAGCUCGUAGGCGGUUUGUCGCGUCGGCUGUGAAAUCUGGAGGCUUAACCUUCAGCGUGCAGUCGAUACGGGCAGACUUGAGUUCGGCAGGGGAGACUGGAAUUCCUGGUGUAGCGGUGAAAUGCGCAGAUAUCAGGAGGAACACCGGUGGCGAAGGCGGGUCUCUGGGCCGAUACUGACGCUGAGGAGCGAAAGCGU